rnacentral:rRNA from 1 species
GAUGAACGCUGGCGGCGUGCCUAACACAUGCAAGUCGAACGGAGCAGAUGCACCGGAUGAAGAUUCGUCAGAUUCCACCGUAUCUGCUUAGUGGCGGACGGGUGAGUAACGCGUGGGUAACCUGCCCUGUACAGGGGAAUAGCAGCUGGAAACGGCUGGUAAAACCGCAUAUGCGCACACUGCCGCAUGGCAGAGUGUGGAAAACUCCGGUGGUACAGGAUGGACCCGCGUCUGAUUAGCUAGUUGGCAGGGUAACGGCCUACCAAGGCGACGAUCAGUAGCCGGCCUGAGAGGGUGGACGGCCACAUUGGGACUGAGACACGGCCCAAACUCC